rnacentral:rRNA from 1 species
UACGUAGGGUGCGAGCGUUGUCCGGAAUUACUGGGCGUAAAGAGCUCGUAGGUGGUUUGUCGCGUUGUUCGUGAAAACUCACAGCUUAACUGUGGGCGUGCGGGCGAUACGGGCAGACUGGAGUACUGCAGGGGAGACUGGAAUUCAUGGUGUAGCAGUGAAAUGCGUAGAGAUCAUGAGGAAGACCAGUGGCGAAGGCGGGUCUCUGGACAGUUCCUGACACUGAGGCACGAAGGCCAGGGGAGCAAACGGG